rnacentral:rRNA from 1 species
UAGGGAAUCAUCCGCAAUGGACGAAAGUCUGACGGUGCAACGCCGCGUGAGUGAUGAAGGUUUUCGGAUCGUAAAGCUCUGUUGUGAGGGAAGAACAAGGGCGGUUCUAACAGGGCCGCCCCCUGACGGUACCUCACCAGAAAGCCCCGGCUAACUACGUGCCAGCAGCCGCGGUAAUACGUAGGGGGCAAGCGUUGUCCGGAAUUAUUGGGCGUAAAGCGCGCGCAGGCGGUUCUUUAAGUCUGAUGUGAAAGCCCACGGCUCAACCGUGGAGGGUCAUUGGAAACUGGAGAACUGGAAUGCAGAAGAGGAGAGUGGAAUUCCACGUGUAGCGGUGAAAUGCGUAGAUAUGUGGAGGAACACCAGUGGCGAAGGCGGCUCUCUGGUCUGUUAUUGACGCUGAGGCGCGAAAGCGUGGGGAGCAAACAGG